rnacentral:pre_miRNA from 13 species
UGUCUCCCAUGUCUAUUGUACUUCAUCAGGUGCUCUGGUGUCCGUUUGUAACCCGGCACAUGUUGAAGUACACUCAAUAUGUGGCGAUC